GCUCCGCUUACGGAACGCUGCUUGCCUGCCACUCCGAAACAGCCACAUAGCGUGGUGGUCUUGGUUUCUUUUCCUAGUGUGCUUUCUGCCUCAGCUUGUGGACGGUGACGGCUCACCUCCCCCUUGCUCCUGGGGCUCUGAACUCAGAGGCCCAGAGCCCUGGACCGUGUCUGUGGAAUGGCUCAGCAUAUCUGGCCGAAGAAAUUGGCAACAUUUGCUACGAAUAAAACCCAAGCGGUUCCAGCAGCCAUU